rnacentral:rRNA from 1 species
UACGGAGGGUGCGAGCGUUGUCCGGAAUCACUGGGCGUAAAGGGCGCGUAGGCGGCCUGGUAAGUAGGGGGUGAAAUCCUGCGGCUUAACCGCAGGGCUGCCUUCUAAACUGUCAGGCUCGAGCACGGUAGAGGCAGAUGGAAUUCCUGGUGUAGCGGUGAAAUGCGCAGAUAUCAGGAGGAACACCGGUGGCGAAGGCGGGUCUCUGGGCCGAUACUGACGCUGAGGAGCGAAAGCGUGGGGAGCGAACAGG